UAGAUACCCUGGUAGUCCACGCCGUAAACGAUGAUAACUAGCUGUCCGGGCACUUGGUGCUUGGGUGGCGCAGCUAACGCAUUAAGUUAUCCGCCUGGGGAGUACGGCCGCAAGGUUAAAACUCAAAGGAAUUGACGGGGGCCUGCACAAGCGGUGGAGCAUGUGGUUUAAUUCGAAGCAACGCGCAGAACCUUACCAGCGUUUGACAUGGUAGGACGACUUCCAGAGAUGGAUUUCUUCCCUUCGGGGA
rnacentral:rRNA from 1 species